UCAAACUUGGUCAUUUAGAGGAAGUAAAAGUCGUAACAAGGUAACCGUAGGUGAACCUGCGGUUGGAUCAUUAACAAAUAAUCCAAAAAAAUGUGGCCAGACAGGAGAGUCCGAACAGGUCCUCCCGAUGGCAACAUCCCACACCCUCUGUGAACAUUGAACGUCUAUUGGCGACAGGGGCAGCGAGCCAGCGCGCUCGGUGUCCUCCGCCGACCUUGCACAGCCUCCCCCGGCUUCCGGGCGGCGGGUCUUUUGCGAAGGCUCGGAGGUGGGCGAUUUUGGGGGGAAGAUGAUCCCCCCUCGCGUCUGUGUCGCCAGCAAAUUGCACACCCCAUGUUUUUUGCUCCCUGCCCUCACCGGCUUGGUGCAUCAUUGCAUCGUGACUGAAUGAAAAAUGAAAGCAUAAUGAGAAACAACUUUAGACAACGGAUCUCUUGGCUCUCGCAUCGAUGAAGAACGCAGC
rnacentral:misc_RNA from 1 species